rnacentral:rRNA from 1 species
AAUCUACCUUUUACAGGGGAAUAGCCCAGAGAAAUUUGGAUUAAUGCCCCAUGGUAUUAUGAAAUGGCAUCAUUUUAUAAUUAAAGUUCCAACGGUAAAAGAUGAGCAUGCGUCCCAUUAGUUAGUUGGUAAGGUAACGGCUUACCAAGACGAUGAUGGGUAGGGGUCCUGAGAGGGAGAUCCCCCACACUGGUACUGAGACACGGACCAGACUCCUACGGGAGGCAGCAGUGAGGAAUAUUGGACAAUGGGCGCAAGCCUGAUCCAGCCAUGCCGCGUGCAGGAAGAAGCAUCUAUGGUGUGUAAACUGCUUUUAUACAGGAAGAAACACUCCCUCGUGAGGGAGCUUGACGGUACUGUAAGAAUAAGGACCGGCUAACUCCGUGCCAGCAGCCGCGGUAAUACGGAGGGUCCAAGCGUUAUCCGGAAUCAUUGGGUUUAAAGGGUCCGUAGGCGGUUUAAUAAGUCAGUGGUGAAAUCUGGUCGCUCAACGAUCAAACGGCCAUUGAUACUGUUAGACUUGAAUUAUAAGGAAGUAACUAGAAUAUGUAGUGUAGCGGUGAAAUGCUUAGAUAUUACAUGGAAUACCAAUUGCGAAGGCAGGUUACUACUUAUGGAUUGACGCUGAUGGACGAAAGCGUGGGGAGCGAACAGGAUUAGAUACCCUGGUAGUCCACGCCGUAAACGAUGGA